rnacentral:rRNA from 1 species
CCCAAUUCUAACAGCAUAAGAGAGGUAGUGACAAGAAAUAACAGUACAAGGCAGUUAAAAUGYUUUGUAAUUGGAAUGAUAGAAAUUUAAACACUUUUUAAAGUAUCAAUUGGAGGGCAAGUCUGGUGCCAGCAGCCGCGGUAAUUCCAGCUCCAAUAGCGUAUAUUAAAAUUGUUGCAGUUAAAAAGCUCGUAGUUGAAUUUYUGCUARAAAUAACCGGUCUGCUUUUAUUA